rnacentral:rRNA from 1 species
UACCCGCGGCCCGAGUGGUGGUCGAUAUUAUUGAGCCUAAAACGUCCGUAGCCGGUCUUGUAAAUCCUUGGGUAAAUCGGCCAGCUUAACUGUCCGAAUUCCGAGGAGACUGCAAGACUUGGGACCGGGAGAGGUCAGAGGUACUUCCAGGGUAGGGGUAAAAUCCUGUAAUCCUGGAAGGACCACCGGUGGCGAAGGCGUCUGACUAGAACGGAUCCGACGGUGAGGGACGAAGCCCUGGGGCGCAAACGGGAUUAGAUACCCCCGUAGUCC